rnacentral:rRNA from 1 species
AUUGAACGCUGGCGGCAUGCCUUACACAUGCAAGUCGAACGGUAACAGGUCUUCGGAUGCUGACGAGUGGCGAACGGGUGAGUAAUACAUCGGAACGUGCCUAGUAGUGGGGGAUAACUACUCGAAAGAGUGGCUAAUACCGCAUGAGAUCUACGGAUGAAAGCAGGGGAUCGCAAGACCUUGUGCUACUAGAGCGGCCGAUGGCAGAUUAGGGAGUUGGUGGGAUAAAAGCUUACCAAGCCGACGAUCUGUAGCUGGUCUGAGAGGACGAUCAGCCACACUGGGACGGAGACACGGACCAGACUCCUACGGGAGGCAGCAGUGGGGAAUUUUGGACAAUGGGCGCAAGCCUGAUCCAGCAAUGCCGCGUGCAGGAUGAAGGCCUUCGGGUUGUAAACUGCUUUUGUACGGAACGAAAAGCCCUGGGUUAAUACCCUGGGGUCAUGACGGUACCGUAAGAAUAAGCACCGGCUAACUACGUGCCAGCCGCCGCUGUAACAC